AGGUGACUUAACGCCCGAAGGGGUGCUUCCUCCUACCCUCGUCAGUCAUUCAUCCCCUUCCAGUUUGUGGCUGUGCGGAGCGGCGUUUCGCCAUGGAUGGCCUCGAGUCCUUUGAGGAAGCAGAAUCAGGAUUGGUUCCUAAGGCUGAUGCGGGUGAUUUAUUGGGUGGCGGAAUCGAUGUUGUGGAAUCUGUGGUUGCUUCCAUCCAUGAAGGGCGCGGGCGCUCCUCUGAUGUGAUUUCUUCUGAGCCGAUUGGUGACAGCAGCGACAAAGAGCAGUUCAGAGUGGUGGGCGCGAAUCUCGGCUCAUACAACAACCGUGGGAGCGAGGUCGUUGACGACUCGAACGAUAUGGCGGCUCAGAAAACCUCCUCAACAUCAAUGGGAGAGGAGGGAGAUGCAGAGGGGGUCGUCGUCAACAAAUCAAAGGCCUCCUGUUGGACUUGACGACCAAGCUCGUGCAAUGGAGGUUGCCAUAGAAGAUGUCAUGCCGCAUACAUCACAUCGGUGGUGCAAAUGGCAUGUGCUGAAGAAAGCAAAAGAGCUACUUGGGCCACUACUAGGCAAGGGCAGCGAGCUCAAACAAAAGUUCAACAAGAUGAUGCAUCACAUGGUUAGUGAGAAAGAAUUCGAGGAUGGUUGGGCAUCUAUGGUUGAGAAACAUGGUGUACAAAAUAAUGUAUCUGCGCCUGGUACCCAUAGUUAGCGACCUGCUGCCUUGGGGUGUUC